UACGGGGGGGGCAAGCGUUGUUCGGAAUUACUGGGCGUAAAGGGCUCGUAGGCGGCCAACUAAGUCAGACGUGAAAUCCCCAGGCUCAACCUGGGAACUGCGUCUGAUACUGGAUGGCUUGAAUCCGGGAGAGGGAUGCAGAAUUCCAGGUGUAGCGGUGAAGUGCGUAGAUAUCUGGAGGAAUACCGGUGGCGAAGGCGGCAUCCUGGACCGGCAUUGACGCUGAGGAGCGAAGGCCAGGGGAGCAAACGGG
rnacentral:rRNA from 1 species